AACGAACGCUGGCGGCAUGCCUAACACAUGCAAGUCGAACGAGACCUUCGGGUCUAGUGGCGCACGGGUGCGUAACGCGUGGGAACCUGCCCUUAGGUUCGGAAUAACUCCCCGAAAGGGGUGCUAAUACCGGAUAAUGUCUUCGGACCAAAGAUUUAUCGCCUUUGGAUGGGCCCGCGUUGGAUUAGCUAGUUGGUAGGGUAAAAGCCUACCAAGGCGACGAUCCAUAGCUGGUCUGAGAGGAUGAUCAGCCACACUGGGACUGAGACACGGCCCAGACUCCUACGGGAGGCAGCAGUGGAGAAUAUUGGACGAUGGGCGAAGGCCUGAUCCAGCAAUGCCGCGUGAGUGAUGAAGGCCUUAGGGUUGUAAAGCUCUUUUACCCGGGAUGAUAAUGACAGUACCGGGAGAAUAAGCUCCGGCUAACUCCGUG
rnacentral:rRNA from 1 species